AACGAACGCUGGCGGCAGGCUUAACACAUGCAAGUCGAGCGCCCCGCAAGGGGAGCGGCAGACGGGUGAGUAACGCGUGGGAAUCUACCCAUCUCUACGGAAUAACGCAUGGAAACGUGUGCUAAUACCGUAUAGGUCCUUCGGGAGAAAGAUUUAUCGGAGAUGGAUGAGCCCGCGUUGGAUUAGCUAGUUGGUGGGGUAAAGGCCUACCAAGGCGACGAUCCAUAGCUGGUCUGAGAGGAUGAUCAGCCACACUGGGACUGAGACACGGCCCAGACUCCUACAGGAGGCAGCAGUGGGGAAUAUUGGACAAUGGGCGCAAGCCUGAUCCAGCCAUGCCGCGUGAGUGAUGAAGGCCCUAGGGUUGUAAAGCUCUUUCACCGGUGAAGAUAAUGACGGUAACCGGAGAAGAAGCCCCGGCUAACUUCGUGCCAGCCGCCGCAGUAAAAC
rnacentral:rRNA from 1 species